GUGAGGAAUAUUGGUCAAUGGGCGAGAGCCUGAACCAGCCAAGUCGCGUGAAGGAAGAAGGAUCUAUGGUUCGUAAACUUCUUUUGCAGGGGAAUAAAGUGCAGGACGUGUCCUGUUUUGUAUGUACCCUGAGAAUAAGGAUCGGCUAACUCCGUGCCAGCAGCCGCGGUAAUACGGAGGAUCCGAGCGUUAUCCGGAUUUAUUGGGUUUAAAGGGUGCGUAGGUGGUUUGUUAAGUCAGCGGUGAAAGUUUGCAGCUUAACUGUAAAAAUGCCGUUGAAACUGUCGGACUUGAGUGUAAAUGAGGUAGGCGGAAUGCGUGGUGUAGCGGUGAAAUGCAUAGAUAUCACGCAGAACUCCGAUUGCGAAGGCAGCUUACUAAGCUACAACUGACACUGAAGCACGAAAGCGUGGGGAUCAAACAGGAUUAGAUACCCCGGUAGUCC
rnacentral:rRNA from 1 species